GACGAACGCUGGCGGCGUGCUUAACACAUGCAAGUCGAACGGAAAGGCCCUGCUUUUGUGGGGUGCUCGAGUGGCGAACGGGUGAGUAACACGUGAGUAACCUGCCCUUGACUUUGGGAUAACUUCAGGAAACGGGGGCUAAUACCGGAUAGGAGCUCCUGCUGCAUGGUGGGGGUUGGAAAGUUUCGGCGGUUGGGGAUGGACUCGCGGCUUAUCAGCUUGCUGGUGGGGUAGUGGCUUACCAAGGCUUUGACGGGUAGCCGGCCUGAGAGGGUGACCGGCCACAUUGGGACUGAGAUACGGCCCAGACUCCUACGGGAGGCAGCAGUGGGGAAUAUUGCACAAUGGGCGGAAGCCUGAUGCAGCAACGCCGCGUGCGGGAUGACGGCCUUCGGGUUGUAAACCGCUUUCGCCUGUGACGAAGCGUGAGUGACGGUAAUGGGUAAAGAAGCACCGGCUAACUACGUG
rnacentral:rRNA from 1 species